rnacentral:rRNA from 1 species
AGUCGAGGGGCAGCGGGGGCGUAGCAAUAUGCCUGCCGGCGACCGGCGCACGGGUGAGUAACACGUAUGUAACCUGCCCUAUGCAGGGGGAUAACCCGGAGAAAUCCGGCCUAAUACCGCGUAAUACCUUAGGGGAGCAUUCUCUUGAGGUUAAAGGAGAGAUCCGGCAUAGGAUGGACAUGCGUCGCAUUAGGUAGACGGCGGGGUAACGGCCCACCGUGCCGACGAUGCGUAGGGGUUCUGAGAGGAAGGCCCCCCACACUGGUACUGAGACACGGACCAGACUCCUACGGGAGGCAGCAGUGAGGAAUAUUGGUCAAUGGCCGAGAGGCUGAACCAGCCAAGUCGCGUGAGGGAAGAAUGUCCUAAGGAUUGUAAACCUCUUUUGUCGCCGCGCAAAAAGGCUCUGCGGAGUCGUAUUGAGAGUACCCGAAGAAAAAGCAUCGGCUAACUCCGUGCCAGCAGCCGCGGUAAUACGGAGGAUGCGAGCGUUAUCCGGAUUUAUUGGGUUUAAAGGGUGCGCAGGCGGCGUGUCAAGCAAGCGGUAAAAUAGCGGGGCUCAACCCCGUCGAGCCGUUUGAACUGGCGCGCUUGAGUUCAGGCGAGGUAGGCGGAAUUCGUGGUGUAGCGGUGAAAUGCAUAGAUAUCUCGGGGAACUCCGAUUGCGAAGGCAGCUUACCAGUCUGCGACUGACGCUCAGGCACGAAAGUGU